GACGAACGCUGGCGGCGUGCUUAACACAUGCAAGUCGAACGGAAAGGCCCUGCUUGCAGGGUACUCGAGUGGCGAACGGGUGAGUAACACGUGGGUGAUCUGCCCUGCACUUCGGGAUAAGCUUGGGAAACUGGGUCUAAUACCGGAUAGGAACCAUCUUCAGUGUGGUGGUUGGAAAGUUUUUUCGGUGUAGGAUGAGCUCGCGGCCUAUCAGCUUGUUGGUGGGGUAAUGGCCUACCAAGGCGGCGACGGGUAGCCGGCCUGAGAGGGUGUACGGCCACAUUGGGACUGAGAUACGGCCCAGACUCCUACGGGAGGCAGCAGUGGGGAAUAUUGCACAAUGGGCGCAAGCCUGAUGCAGCGACGCCGCGUGGGGGAUGAAGGCCUUCGGGUUGUAAACUCCUUUCGCUAGGGACGAAGCUUUGUUGUGACGGUACCUAGAUAAGAAGUACCGGCUAACUACGUG
rnacentral:rRNA from 1 species